rnacentral:rRNA from 1 species
UAUGAUUGUGUGCCAGCGCCGCGGUAAAACGUAGGGUGCAAGCGUUGUCCGGAAUUACUGGGUGUAAAGGGAGCGCAGGCGGACCGGCAAGUUGGAAGUGAAAACUAUGGGCUCAACCCAUAAAUUGCUUUCAAAACUGCUGGCCUUGAGUAGUGCAGAGGUAGGUGGAAUUCCCGGUGUAGCGGUGGAAUGCGUAGAUAUCGGGAGGAACACCAGUGGCGAAGGCGACCUACUGGGCACCAACUGACGCUGAGGCUCGAAAGCAUGGGUAGCAAACAGG